rnacentral:rRNA from 1 species
ACGCUCGACACCUACGGGAGACAGCGGUUGGGAAUAUUGGACAAUGGAGGGAACUCUGAUCCAGUGACGCCGCGUGAAGGAAGAAGGUCUUCGGAUUGUAAACUUAUUUUAUCAGGGAAGAAAGAAAUGACAGUACCUGAAGAAGAAGGACCGGCUAACUACGUGCCAACAGCCGCGGUAAUCUGAGCGGGCUGGCAAGGC